AUCGAGUCAAAUGAUAAAGACACUAAUUAAUAAUAACUAAACUUUGCAAUUACCAAAUCCUAAUGUGAUCAAACAUGGAAAAGAUGUAUAAUUGAUGGUGCAUGAAAUUCACAAACUUACAGAAAGUCAUGAAAUUCACAAACUUACAGAAAGUUUCUUGCCAAAUUACCAACAUCACAAAGAAAAGGGAUUUAAAACCACUCAGAGUUGCAUCGUCUCUGGAUAACAAUCCAUGAGGACUUACAGAGACGUGCAAUGUUAUUUAGUGUCUUGCAUGAAGAAUAAAUUUCUCUUGUUUUUACUAAGCUUUCCAUCUAAGCAAUACUUAUGUAAAGAGAUUUCAAGUGUCUCAUCUCACAUCUCACUUAUGAGAGAAGCAGUAGCAUUAGUUUCAACUGAACUGUCCCAAACACCACCAGAGACCCCAAAGUUGAGAUUAUAUUUGGGCUGCUUGUUGGGGGAAAACAAUCCAAAAUGUUUCUCCAGUUCAGGGUUCUUGUUGUUCUCAUCAAACAUGGCAAAUAUAUAGGUCUCAAUAGGUCCAGGCUUUCUUGGGCUACCCUCUUUAGCGUGUUGAAUUAAGUUCCUCAAGUAAGUUGCUGCAUUGUCAUAUGUAGCUCCAAAUGCACCAGCAGAUGGCCAGCCACUCUCGGACACAACAAUCCCUACAGAUGCCCCUCCUGAUCGCUCGAGGGCAGCAUACACAGAAUCCAGCAUUGCAUCAAAUAAGUUCCUAUAUUGGCGUGAACCAUCUUGUACUACCACAUUUGGUGCUGUAAAAAGAGAAUAGGGGAGAGAAAUCUGCCCUGGAUUACCAGAAUAGCUGAAAUAGGGGUAAAUGUUAACGAGUAAAGGUGCACGUGUGUCCCUUAAGAACCCAACAAUUGGAUCAGUAAACCACCUAGCAUCGUUCCUAAACGAACCCUGUGAUGGUGGAUAAGAGUUUCCAAUCAAGGUCAUGUCUACAGAAGU
rnacentral:lncRNA from 1 species